GCCUGUGAAGCUGCCCAGGUGGUGCCUGAAGAAUUUGGGUAAAGAAAGAAAGAAAGAAGAAGUACUUGAGACAGAUGCUAGCUGGCAAGUUAUAAGAAGGGCAGAAACUGGUUUUGCUUUAUUUUUGUUUUAGUAAUUUUUUUAUGUUUUUUUUUUUUUCGUCUUUUCCCCCCUCCCCCUGUAACCGAAGCUAGUUUGAUCGUUGGUUUCUGGCAAGAGGAAAGAAAGGCUGCAGCAGUAGAGCAAGAAUCAAAGUGUUAAAAGGAUGCUCAAAAUGUAGUGUUGUGGCGGGUCGGGGUCUUCCUGCCUAGAUGGUAUGUCUGUUGCUUGACGGCUGGCCUCCAGUGUAACAUCAGCCCUCAGUCCAUUGACUUUGAGAUCUCAUUCAGAUUUCCUCCUAAACAGAAGAUUUCCUGCUAGUUUCUGGAUAAUAACUGUUUUCUACUGUGUCCAGCUUCUGUGUUUCUACUAAGCUGAGACACACUUGGAAUCGAACGUGUCUUUCAAGUAUUUACCAGUGUCUCCAAAUUUCCAUUACGUUGAUUGAGAAAAAUCCUUUGGAAAGAAUAUUUCUCACUUUUACAUCAAAACUCUUCCACCUGAAAAAAGGAAUUCCUGGAUGAUGAAUAAGAACCUGUAAAAAUCUGAUCCCACAAAUUGUGCAAAAUUGGUCACAAUCACUUCUUUAAAAUGAUGUAAAUUAAUCAUGGGCUUAUAGAAAUUCAAAGAGACUUUAUUUAAUAAUUGGAUCUGUCCAGGGACAGGGGACUGCUUGGCAUUUCAACUUGCCUAUUUCCAGCUCUCUCUCUUAAGAGUCUUGGAAAGAAGUAACCAUGGAGAUAUGCAACUUCACAACCACAGUGGCAAUGAAGACCUGCUGAUGGCAGCGAUGGACUGGGCCACAGAGGACUACAGCUCCUCAAAAUCUCAUUUCAAGAGAAUUGUUGACAAAUCGACCUGUUUGGCAGCUUCCUGGGGGAGGCAGUCUAAAAUAUAGCAUCUUUUUUUUCCAUUCUUCAGUUGAAGGAGGGAAGUGACUUGAGAUCAUACUCAUAAGUGAAAUAAAUCAAACUCACAUGUGUAAAUACUAUAUAUAUCAUAAAUGAAAUAAAUCAAACUCAUAUGUGUAAAUACUGCCUAGUGUAAAACACAAAAUCUUCAGUAUUGUAAAAGAAUAAGAAACUGCUCAAAGAGGAUAAAAUAACUCAGACAAGGAAAAGAAGAAAAGAAGGAAAAGAGAUAAGACAAAAAUUUGUAUAUGUAUACUUAAGAUUACUUAGAUGAUUGUACCACUAAUUCUAUUAGUUAUUGGAACAAAACAGUUAACAUCUGUAGGAUUAGGACAACUUUGCAUGACUACAUCUGGUAAUUCAAGUAAGACUUUUGAAGAUAACUAUGCAAAGCAACAAAAUUUGUUAUGUUUCUACCACCUUGAUUUGAAAGCCUAUAUUGUUAUUGUUUUGGACUCUUAGUUAUAGCUAUUUAUUUGUUGUUUUGUUUUUCCCUCUAAUACAAAAAAGAUAGAUGUACAAUACGUAGGCUUGUAUAUGCUUAGAACUACACCUAAAGAACAAGGAUUGAUUUUAUUAAGUGUGAUAGUAUGAACAACUACACUGAAGAAAACAAGACACCAGAUAGUCAUUGAUGAUUUCCUACCAUUUUGCUUUGAAGUCCAAUAAUGCUUUCAUUCUUGGUUUUGAUUGAUUUUAGUCUGUUUGCAAUUAUUUGAUUUCAAUGUAUAUGAAGGUAUGGACAAUUAUUUUGAAGAAAACAAGAGACAUUAUGGUAGCCACUGUUGAUUACCUGUUGUCUUUUUCUGAAAUCCUGUUACUUGAAUUGUUUUACUCUGCUCUGCUUUGUUCUGUUUUGUUUUAUGUUCUUCAAAAAAUGUAACAUUAGUUAUCAGAGUUUGUCUUAACGCUCAGAUUUCACCCUGUGGAAAUAGCCCAAUUACAGGUGGCAACUUUAACACUGUACUAGUACCAGUUGAGGAUGGCAAGAAGUUGAUAAAAAAAAAAAAGUGGAACAGUUUUAAAUCAUUAAAAACAAUUGACUCUUCAUUAAAUCCAUUGAUUCAAUUCAA